rnacentral:rRNA from 1 species
ACUCAAAUGAAUUGACGGGGGCCCGCACAAGCGGUGGAGCAUGUGGUUUAAUUCGACGCAACGCGCAGAACCUUACCAGCCCUUGACAUGUCCCGUACGGGCCGCAGAGAUGCGGUCCAUCAGUUCGGCUGGCGGGAACACAGGUGCUGCAUGGCUGUCGUCAGCUCGUGUCGUGAGAUGUUGGGUUAAGUCCCGCAACGAGCGCAACCCUCACCUUCAGUUGCCAUCGGGUUAUGCCGGGCACUCUGGAGGAACUGCCGGUGACAAGCCGGAGGAAGGCGGGGAUGACGUCAAGUCCUCAUGGCCCUUAUGGGCUGGGCUACACACGUGCUACAAUGGCGGUGACAGAGGGAAGCAAGACUGCGAAGUCAAGCCGAUCCCUAAAAGCCGUCUCAGUUCGGAUUGCACUCUGCAACUCGAGUGCAUGAAGCUGGAAUCGCUAGUAAUCGCGGAUCAGCACGCCGCGGUGAAUACGUUCCCGGGCCUUGCACACACCGCCCGU